AAAGUACUCCCUCCGUCCCAAAAUUCUUGUCUUAGAUUUAUCUAGAUACGAAUGUAUCAAGUCACAUUUUAGUAUUAGAUACAUCCGUAUCUAGACAAAUCUAAGACAAGAAAUUUGGGACAGAGGGAGUAGUUG
rnacentral:pre_miRNA from 1 species